GACGAACGCUGGCGGCGUGCCUAACACAUGCAAGUCGAACGGGGUGAGAUCCUUCGGGGUUUCACUUAGUGGCGAACGGGUGAGUAACGCGUGAGAAACCUGCCUCUCAGUGGGGGACAACAGUUGGAAACGACUGCUAAUACCGCAUAACACUUUAGUACCGCAUGGUACAGAAGUCAAAGCUUUAUGUGCUGAGAGAUGGUCUCGCGUCUGAUUAGCUAGAUGGCGGGGUAACGGCCCACCAUGGCGACGAUCAGUAGCCGGUCUGAGAGGAUGAACGGCCACAUUGGGACUGAGAUACGGCCCAGACUCCUACGGGAGGCAGCAGUGGGGAAUAUUGGGCAAUGGGGGAAACCCUGACCCAGCAACGCCGCGUGAAGGAAGAAGGCCUUCGGGUUGUAAACUUCUUUUAGCAGGGACGAAGAACGUGACGGUACCUGCAGAAAAAGCAACGGCUAACUACGUGCCAGCCGCCGCCGUAACAC
rnacentral:rRNA from 1 species